AUUGAACGCUGGCGGCAGGCUUAACACAUGCAAGUCGAACGAGUGGCGGACGGGUGAGUAAUGUCUGGGAAACUACCUUAUGGAGGGGGAUAACUACGGGAAACUGUAGCUAAUACCGCGUACCAUCGGAUGAGCCCAGGUGGGAUUAGCUAGUUGGUGGGGUAACGGCCUACCAAGCCGACGAUCCCUAGCUGGUCUGAGAGGAUGACCAGGCACACCGGGACUGAGACACGGCCCAGACUCCUACGGGAGGCAGCAGUGGGGAAUAUUGCACAAUGGGGGCAACCCUGACGCAGCCAUGCCGCGUGUAUGAAGAAGGCCUUCGGGUUGUAAAGUUCUUUCGGUGAGGAGGCGUUAACUGCAGAAGAAGCACCGGCUAACUCCGUGCCAGCAGCCGCGGUAAUAC
rnacentral:rRNA from 1 species